rnacentral:rRNA from 1 species
UACGAAGGUCCCAAGCGUUAUCCGGAUUAUUGGGUUUAAAGGGUGCGUAGGCGGGUUAUUAAGUCAGUGGUGAAAGCCUUCAGCUUAACUGAAGAAUUGCCAUUGAUACUGAUGAUCUUGAGUAUGAUUGAGGUUGGCGGAAUGUGUCAUGUAGCGGUGAAAUGCUUAGAUAUGACACAGAACACCGAUUGCGAAGGCAGCUAACUAAGCCAUAACUGACGCUGAUGCACGAAAGCGUGGGGAGCAAACAGG